rnacentral:rRNA from 1 species
CAGUUCCCUAACUUGCAACCGGGAUGGCCCAACCAAAAAAAAUAAUGGGCGCCCCUUAUCUUGGUCUAUCGCCCCCCCCCCCUUUGCUUGUUUAAACAAGUGGAGGGUUCCCCCAUCGUGGGAGUCUAAGUGUUGCCGGCAACAGUGAUUCGCCGUGCUUGUGGAGGAGCAGCAACUGUAGGGACCAUCCUUUUAUUUGGGGAACAAGUGGUUAAAGACUAAUUAGCCUUUUGGCUUAUCGGCCACCACAUUUUGUUUUUUUUAUUAGUUUUGAACAAACUAAAAUUCUAGUCUUAUCGGUGGAUCACUCGGCUCGUAGGUCUAUGAAGAACGCAGCUAACUGCGAUAAUUAGUGUGAACUGCAGAAACCAUGAACACAAAACUUUCGAAUGCACAUUGCGCCAUUGGAAUCUUGUCCUUUGGCACGCCUGGUUCAGGGUCGUAAACCUAAUACGCGUGCUUCUUGCGUUUAUUAUUGUGAAUUCAUUCCGUUGCUAUGCUGUGUUUCUUUGCACUGCAAUGGAUUGUUUUCGCAUUUUUGUUUACAUGAGUGCAGGAUUGCUUUAGGAGGCAUGGGUGUAUGAAUCAGUUACGUUGUUUGUUCAACCGAUUCGCGCCGUGUUUGCUGGAUGGCUAUUGCUUUGUUUCGUGCUUUAGUCAUCUGCAUGUCUCUUAGGGUUACCUGUCUCAGCAUCGCGUCUGUUGAUGCAAUUUUUUAUUUUUUGACCUCAAAUCAGGUAGUGAUUACCCGCUGAACUUAAGCAUAUCAAUAAGCGAGAAGAGAUCAGG